AGGCAGAUGAGAUGGACCAGGCAGACGAGAUGGCAGACACAAGCUCUCAAAGUACCAGUGAAAUCCAGUCAACUACGACAUCGCUGGUGCAAGAGAAGAUGAUGUAUGAUGGAGACGAUAGUGACGGAGAAAGCGACUGCGAGAUGUCAGAAGACCUUGUGUUUUCAUUGUUGAUGGAAUACAGUAGAGAUUAAAAUGAGAAAACAG